GACGAACGCUGGCGGCGUGCUUAACACAUGCAAGUCGAACGGAAAGGCCCUGCUUUUGUGGGGUGCUCGAGUGGCGAACGGGUGAGUAACACGUGAGUAACCUGCCCUUGACUUUGGGAUAACUUCAGGAAACUGGGGCUAAUACCGGCUAGGAGCUCCUGCUGCAUGGUGGGGGUUGGAAAGUUUCGGCGGUUGGGGAUGGACUCGCGGCUUAUCAGCUUGUUGGUGGGGUAGUGGCUUACCAAGGCUUUGACGGGUAGCCGGCCUGAGAGGGUGACCGGGCACAUUGGGACUGAGAUACGGCCCAGACUCCGACGGGAGGCAGAAGUGGGGAAGAUGACACAAUGGGCGGAAGCCUGAUGCAGCAACGCCGCGUGCGGGAUGUCGGCCAUCGGGUUGUAAACCGCUUUCGCCUGUGACGAAGCGGGAGUGACGGUAAUGGGUAAAGAAGCACCGGCUAACUACGUG
rnacentral:rRNA from 1 species